rnacentral:lncRNA from 1 species
UGGAGAGCUGCUCCAGGGCAGCAGGAUGUCCAGGAAAAAGGACCCAUCUACCACCAGAUCCUGAGGUAGCUGAGUUAUAACAGGUCAUUGCCAGAGGAGGAAGGUCCCUGGAGUAGAAAAUGCAGGAGAAGGAAAAAUAAAAUAAGAAAAAAAGUGUUUAAAGGGGAGACUUUGCAGACAGAAGCAACCUGUGUGCAAGGCCCUGCCUAUGAAUGGGGAUUACUUCUGCUUCCUAAAAGUUUUCUAGGUGUCAGACAAUCCUGGAUCCAAGAAUCUCCAAUCACGUUUCUCUGA